GCCCACCAACACGAACCCAGUGGGCUCAGAUGCUCUGUCGAGAGAGACAAAGUAGAAACAGAUUUCAGUGAGUUAAUGGAGAUAAAACCUGCUUUCUCUCAGGCCCCCAGUGCAGCAUCUGUCUCCCCGUUCCCCAUCCACCGGGCUGGCUCCUGUGGCCCUCAGCUUGGGUCCCCAAGACAUCCUGAUCCGUCAGGCCAGCAGGCAGUGACGUCGCAGGCCGUGCUCUGCUCUCUGGAGGUGCCUGCUCCAGCUGCUGGGAGAUGCCCACUGCCCCACAGGCUCUGGAUCCUCUGACACUUGUUCAGUCAGAUGUGCCAGCUCUGGCCCAGGGCCCUCCCGCCAGCUCACAAAAAAGCAGGCACACUCCCGUGUUACUGCUGGGAGCACAAAAUGGUGUGACUCCUACGCCAGGAAUUUUGUGGCAUCAAAUGACCCACGAAGUUGCCUCUUGACCCGGCACUUCUGUGUCUGGGAGUUACAGUGUUGCUGAGCACACUGUAAUGGAAGACUGGAAACCCCCAGAAUUCUUCAGGGACGCAGUGAUAUCAACAAGGGUGUGUCCGCAUAAUGGAAGGGUAUGCAGCCAUUUAAAAAUGGGGAAGUUUUCCAGGUACUGGAUAUCACGUGGUCCCCAGAAUGUGUUAAGUGAAAAAAGAUGUGAAAUCAUAGAACACCAUGUCAUACCUGGGAACUGGACUAUGUUACCUGGGAGUGUGGCAGGUGAGCCCACUUUCAUUGUGGUAGAGACCAACCUUCCAGACAGGAGGGCAUGAGUUGAGGGUGGGGGCAGGGGCAGGAAGAGGGUCACUCAAGAGACACCCCCCCAGGACAUGGGACCUGCAGAGGCCUGGGCCAUCUGGGGUAGGCUGGAACACUGGGGGCUCAGAAGGAGGAGAUGGCCAAUGCCAAACGCCCCACCACCUUCCAGCCUGCUCAAGAGCCAACUCCCCUCUUUGCAAAAUGAACACCUCCCCACCCCCACCCCUGCCCCAUGAUGAGGUUAGUGGGAAGGGAGGAGGGAGGAGCCAGGCCAAGGGCCAGUGACUGACUCUCAGCCCCAUACACAGGGAUUGCAGCUGGGAAACUAGAGGCCCCAAGGGCACCCCCAGCCCCGAUUAUCUCUGGGUUCUCCUCAAGCCCAACCAGGGUUGCUGUGGUUUCCUGCUGGCGCCUCUGGCCUCAACAAACCCCAGCCCCCCCAUGCUGCACUAAUGGCUCAGCCUGGGGCUCCAGGGACCUCCCCACCCCCCAGGCUGCUCUGCCAGCCCCCAUGCCCCUCACUGCUGAAACCCAAUCCUCUGCGGCAGCUCUGGCUCAGCAGAGCAGCAGACCAGCCCAGCCGGCCACGCAGGCUGCACCCUACCUGCUCAGCUGCGGAGCCCCCAGCCCAGCCCCGGCCCGUGGAGCCACAGCCUAUUCCCGGACGAGGCCAGCUGGACCCUUCAGGUCACUACAUCCAACCCAGCCAAGGCCAGUGCCUCCCCACCUCCCUUUCAGCGGGGGCCAUGAAGCCCCCCUCAGGGCCGGAGGAGGCCCGGCGGCAGGCCUCGGACAUCAGUGUGUUCGCCAGCAGCUGCACGCUACACGGGCUGAGCCAUGUCUUUGGUCGAGGAAGCCUGACCCCGCGCCGGGGGCUGUGGGCCGUGGCCAUGCUCCUGUCGAUGGCUGCCUUCCUCUACCAGGUGGCAGAGAGGGUGCGCUACUACGGGGAGUUCCAUCACGAGACGGCCCUGGACGAGCGCGAAAGCCACCAGCUCACCUUCCCGGCCAUCACCCUGUGCAACAUCAACCCGCUGCGCCGCUCACGUCUCACGCCCAACGAUCUGCACUGGGCCGGGCCCUCGCUGCUAGGCCUGGAGCCCUCUGAGCACGCCGCCUUCCUGCGCGCGCUGGGCCAGCCCCCGACACCACCCGGCUUCAUGCCCAGCCCCACCUUCGACAUGGCCCGACUCUACACCCGGGCUGGGCACACCCUGGAGGACAUGCUGCUGGACUGUCGCUACCGCGGCCGACCCUGCGGGCCUGAGAACUUCACUGCGAUCUUUACCAGGAUGGGUCAGUGCUACACCUUCAACUCCGGUGCAGAUGGGGCAGAGCUUCUCACCACCCCCAAGGGCGGAGCAGGCAAUGGGCUGGAGAUCAUGCUGGAUGUGCAGCAGGACGAGUACCUGCCCGUGUGGAAGGACAUGGAGGAGACCCCGUUUGAGGUGGGGAUCCGAGUGCAGAUCCACACCCAGGAGGAGCCACCUAGCAUCGACCAGCUGGGCUUUGGGGCAGCCCCUGGCUACCAGGUUUUUGUGUCUUGCCAGCAGCAGCAACUGAGCUUCCUGCCACCACCCUGGGGCGACUGCAGCUCCGCAUCCCUAGACCCCGACUUUGAGCCAGAACCCGCUGGUCCCCUGGGUCCCCCCAGCCCCAGCCCGGGCCCCAGCCCUCCCUAUAGUCUAAUGGGGUGUCGCCUGGCCUGCGAAACCCGCUAUGUGGCUCGGAAGUGCGGCUGCCGAAUGAUGCACAUGCCUGGUAGCGCACCGGUGUGCAGCCCGCAGCAGUACAAGGACUGCGCCAACCCCACGCUGGGUAAGGGGCCAGCUCCCUGCACCCCGCCCCCGCCGCGCUGGGCCCGGGACCCCACCCCACAGGGCAGGCAGCCUGACCCAGACGACUGUGGCCCGCAGACGCCAUGCUGCGGAAGGACUCGUGCGUGUGCCCCAACCCGUGCGCCAUCACGCGCUACGCCAAGGAGCUCUCUAUGGUGCGGAUGCCCAGCCGCGCCGCUGCCCGCUACCUGGCCCGGAAAUACAACCGCAGCGAGGCCUACAUCGCGGAGAACGUACUGGUGCUGGACAUCUUCUUUGAGGCCCUCAACUACGAGACAGUGGAGCAGAAGAAGGCCUAUGAGGUGUCAGAGCUGCUAGGCGACAUUGGGGGCCAGAUGGGGCUGUUCAUCGGGGCCAGCCUGCUCACCAUCCUUGAGAUCCUGGACUACCUCUGCGAGGCCUUCCACCCCUCCCUGUGCCGUCACCAGGACUCUUUCUG